rnacentral:lncRNA from 1 species
GCAAGGCAGGAUUCUGAGAGUGGCUGCCCUGGGAAGCCAAAAGCAUUCUUACACCUACCCACUGGCUCCUGAUGCUCUCCUGAGAUGAGGCACCUUUAAAACCUGGGAGUGCCUGUCUCCCAUAAGGUGCUGGAAAAUCAGCCUCCAGGGACUGCCAAGGAUACUGAAGCUGUUAGCUCCGGUCUAUCUCUUGACUGUCAUGUUAGAAGAGAACAAGGCUUUGGUGACAUUGCAACUUAAGAGCUGCAAAGAGGUGUAGUCAUCCUGGUGGAGGACGGAAUCCAGGUAUUCAUAAAAAGAAGUGAAAAGGGUGGAGUGAAAUCUCCUUUCUCUGUUAGAAGGAUCACCUUAAAAAGAGUAGAGGAGAGAAGAUCUUUGGAGGUUGAGUUUGGGGAUGAAUUUAUCCUUUUAAAGAGUACGAAUACGUCCUCAAUGUAUAUUCUCUGCGUCACCUCGUCUCAGUGGUUCUCAUCUCCCACUUAGAAUCACUUGGAGACUUCGGGGUUACCCAGGCUCACCCCAGACCAUUAACUCUGAAUCUCUGGGAAUGGGGACUAAGCAUUGGCAUCUUUUAAAAAUUCCCCAGGUGUGUAGCCAGGGCUGAAACCCACUGAGCUCUUUUGAGCCUCCCUUAUGUCACAACUAGUGGAGUUGUCCCACAGAGGAGAGACAGUCCUGCGUUAAAUUCCUUUGUGUGAUAGAGAAACAAGAAUGUCACGGUUAAGUCACUCAGCCUUUAGGCCUGUGUAUGUCUUAGAGGGCUUCUCUCUGAACUCUUUGCCAUCCUAAUACAAACCAAAAGCUCCAAGGUUUAUGUUUCACCCUUAAUGUCAUAUAUUGACAAGAUGCUUCUUUUCUCUUUUCCUAGUGAUGCCUUCUCAGAAUGCUAUACUUUCCCAGCAGGGAAACAUGGAGAGGAAAUGAAUGUUGGAUCACAGAUAGUUAGGUCUCAGACAGUGAUCGACAGCCAUGUCACUGCCACUGGUUGGAGGUAAUGGGGUUAUUAACCUGAGGACAUCUGCUGUCACAAGUUAAUGUUUAUCAAGAAUCUGUGGAAUCUCUUUCAAAAACCUAUUUAAGCCUGUUGUUACAAUUUGAUUAUUUUGUAAACUGAUGAGGUGUGUGACAAGUUAUUUCUGUGGAAACUAGUUCAGUGCUUUGAAAAGACUCAGUAAAUGCCAAUCAUGUUUUAAAAUAUUGCUCUCGGAGUUUCCGUCGUGGCGCAGUGGUUAACGAAUCCGACUGGGAACCAUGAGGUUGCAGGUUCGAUCCCUGCCCUUGCUCAGUGGGUUAAGGAUCUGGCAUUGCCGUGAGCUGUGGUGUGGGUAGCAGAUGCGGUUCGGAUCCCGCGUUGCUGUGGCUCUGGUGUAGGCCAGCAGCUGCAGCUCCGAUUCGACCCCUAGCCUGGGAACCUCCAUAUGCCGCGGGAGCAGCCCAAGAAAAGGCAAAAAGACAAAAGAUGAAAUAAAAUAAAAUAUUGCUCUCA